GGCCAAGUAGUAGUGGCAUACGGUGGAUGCCUUGGUACCAGGCGCCGAUGAAGGACGUGGGAGACCGCGAUAGUCCAUGGGGAGUUGUCAACCAAGCGGUGAUCCGUGGGUGUCCGAAUGGGGGAACCUAGCCCGAGUUGUGUCGGGUUGCCUCUGUCUGAAUGUAUAGGGCAGUUGGUGGUAACGCGGGGAAGUGAAACAUCUCAGUACCCGCAGGAAGAGAAAACAACGGUGAUUCCCUUAGUAGUGGUGAGCGAACGGGGAUGUGGCUAAACCAUGCGCGUGUCAAGGCGGCAGCUGUUGCGUGUGUGGGGUUGUGGGAUGUGCCUGUGGGAGUCUGCCGGCUUCCGCUGGGGCCAGUGUGGUGAGUCGAAUCCGGUGGGAUCCGGAACCAAAGAGGGUGAGAGUCCCGUAGGUGGAGUUGCGCUGGUUGCGGUGGGCAUGGUCCCGAGUAGCGCGGAGCCCGUGAAAUUCCGUGUGAAUCUGGCAGGACCACCUGUCAAGCCUAAAUACGUCCUGGUGACCGAUAGUGGACGAGUACCGUGAGGGAAAGGUGAAAAGUGCCCCGGUGAGGGGUGGUGAAAGAGGUCUUGAAACCGUGUGCUGUCAAGCCGUCAGAGCUGCCUUGUUGGGGUGGUGAUGGCGUGCCUAUUGAAGAAUGAGCCUGCGAGUUGUGGUGUGUGGCGAGGUUAACCCGUGUGGGGGAGCCGUAGCGAAAGCGAGUUCUAAUGGGGCGUGAGUCGCAUGCUGCAGACCCGAAGCGGAGUGAGCUACCCAUGGCCAGGGUGAAGCGUCGGUAAGACGUCGUGGAGGCCCGCACCCACCAGGGUUGAAAACCUGGGGGAUGAGCUGUGGGUAGGGGUGAAAGGCCAAUCAAACUCUGUGAUAGCUGGUUCUCCCCGAAAUGCAUUUAGGUGCAGCGUUGCAUGGUGCGUGGCGGAGGUAGAGCGACUGGUUGGUCGAUGGGCCGUAUUGGUUACUGAGAUCAGCUAAACUCCGAAUGCCGUCACGUGGGAGUGCAGCAGUGAGACUGCGGGGGACAAGCUCCGUGGUCGAGAGGGAAACAGCCCAGAUCGCCAGCUAAGGCCCCUAAGCGUGUGCUGAGUGGGAAAGGUUGUGUAGUUGCUGAGACAACCAGGAGGUUGGCUUAGAAGCAGCCAUCCUUGAAAGAGUGCGUAAUAGCUCACUGGUCAAGUGAUUAUGCGCCGAUAAUGUAGCGGGGCUGAAGCACACCGCCGAAGCUGUGGAGCCCCACCGUUGGUGGGGUUGGUAGGGGAGCGUCGCUGCCUGCGGUGAAGUCUUCGGGUGACCGGGGGUGGAGCGGUAGCGAGUGCGAAUGCAGGCAUGAGUAGCGAGACCAGGGUGAGAAACCCUGGCGCCGAGUGACUCAGGGUUCCUGGGGCAGGUUAAUCCGCCCAGGGUGAGUCGGGACCUAAGGCGAGGCCGACAGGCGUAGUCGAUGGAUAACGGGUUGAUAUUCCCGUACCCGUGCGUAUGCGUCCGGACCGGCAUGUGGGUAUGCUAACCACCACCAUGAUGCUGUCGCACCUGCGGGUGUGGUGGUGUUGUGGCGUGGGAUCCGACCAUGUGUGGGUCAGCGAUGGGGUGACGCAGAGGGGGAGCUCUACCGGGCGGUGGUUGUCCCGGGAUAAGCGUGUAGCCCGCAGUAUAGGCAAAUCCGUGCUGCAGUGGGGUGAGGCGUGAUGUCGAGCCGGUGUGGCGAAGUGAGUGGCCCCGUGCUGUCGAGAAAAGCCUCUAGUGAGUGUGCGUGCGGCCCGUACCCGAAACCGACGCAGGUGGUCAGGUAGAGAAUACCGAGGCGGUCGGGUGAACCAUGGUUAAGGAACUCGGCAAAUUGUCCCCGUAACUUUGGGAGAAGGGGAGCCCGGUGUGGUGAACACCCGUGCGGUGGGAGCUGCGCUGGGUCGCAGAUACCAGGGGGAAGCGACUGUUUAUUAAAAACACAGGUCCGUGCGAAGUCGUAAGACGCGGUAUACGGACUGACGCCUGCCCGGUGCCGGAACGUUAAGAGGACUGGUGAGCCCUGCGGGGUGAGGCUGGGAAUCUAAGCGCCGGUAAACGGCGGUGGUAACUAUAACCAUCCUAAGGUAGCGAAAUUCCUUGUCGGGUAAGUUCCGACCUGCACGAAUGGCGUAACGACUUCCCCGCUGUCUCAACCAUGGGCCCGGUGAAAUUGCACUACGAGUAAAGAUGCUCGUUUCGCGCAGCAGGACGGAAAGACCCCGGGACCUUCACUACAGCUUGACAUUGGUGUGUGGGAUGGUUUGUGUAGGAUAGGUGGGAGCCUGGGAAGCUGACACGCCAGUGUUGGUGGAGGCGUUGGUGAAAUACCACUCUGAUCAUGUCGUACACCUCAACCCGCGCCCGUGAUCCGGGUGGGGGACCGUGUCUGGUGGGUAGUUUAACUGGGGCGGUUGCCUCCUAAAAGGUAACGGAGGCGCCCAAUGGUUCCCUCGGCCUGGUUGGUAAUCAGGUGGUGAGUGUAAGUGCACAAGGGAGCUUGACUGCGAGACGGACGUGUCGAGCAGGUGCGAAAGCAGGGACUAGUGAUCCGGCACCACCGUGUGGAAGGGGUGUCGCUCAACGGCUAAAAGGUACCCCGGGGAUAACAGGCUCAUCUUCCCCGAGAGUUCGUAUCGACGGGAUGGUUUGGCACCUCGAUGUCGGCUCGUCGCAUCCUGGGGCUGGAGUUGGUCCCAAGGGUUGGGCUGUUCGCCCAUUAAAGCGGCACGCGAGCUGGGUUUAGAACGUCGUGAGACAGUUCGGUCCCUAUCCGCUGCGCGCGUUGGAGACUUGGCAAGGGCUGUCCCUAGUACGAGAGGACCGGGACGGACGAACCUCUGGUGUGCCAGUUGUUCCGCCAGGAGCAUGGCUGGUUGGCUACGUUCGGGAGAGAUAACCGCUGAAAGCAUCUAAGUGGGAAGCUUGCUUGGAGAUGAGGUCUCCCGCCCCUGUGUGGGGGUAAGGCCGCCCAGAGAUGAUGGGGUUGAUAGGCCGGAGGUGGAAGCUCUGUGAGGGGUGGAGCUGACCGGUACUAAUGGGCCGAGGGCUUGUCCA
rnacentral:rRNA from 1 species